GGGCGGAGGAUAGGUCAAGUAGAGACUGACUAGAGACUACUGUUCAGAUUGGGCUGAGGAUAGGUCAAGUAGAGACUACUGCUGCUCAGAUAGGGCUGAGGAUAGGUCAAGUAGAGUGACUAGAGACUACUGCUGCUCAGAUAGGGCUGAGGAAAGGACAAGUAGAGACUACUGCUGCUCAGAUUGGGCUGAGGAUAGAUCAAGAUGACUGCUGCUCAGAUAGGGCUGAGGAUAGGACAAGUAGAGACUGACUAGAGACUACUGCUGCUCAGGUGAGGAUAGGUCAAGUAGAGACUGAGUAGAGACUACUGCUGCUCAGAUAGGGCUGAGGGUAGGUCAAGUAGAGACUACUGCUGCUCAGGUAGGGCUGAGAAUAGGUCAAGUAGAGACUGACUAGACUACUGCUGUUCAGACAGGGCUGAGGAUAGGUCAAGUAGAGACUACUGCUCAGAUUGGGCUGAGGAUAGGUCAAGUAGAGACUACUGCUGUUCGGGUAGGGCUGAGGAUAGGUCAAGUAGUGACUACUGCUGCUCAGAUAGGGCUGAGAAUAGGUCAAGUAGAGACUACUGCUGCUCAGAUAGGGCUGAGGAUAGGUCAAGUACAGACUGACUAGAGGCUACUGCUGCUCAGAGAGGGCUGAGGAUAGGUAAAGUAGAGACUACUGCUGCUCAGAUAUGGCUGAGGAUAGGUCAAAUAGAGACUGACUAGAGACUACUGCUGUUCAGACAGGGCUGAGGAUAGGUCAAGUAGAGACUACUGCUCAGAUUGGGCUGAGGAUAGGUCAAGUAGAGACUACUGCUGUUCGGGUAGGGCUGAGGAUAGGUCAAGUAGUGACUACUGCUGCUCAGUGCUGAGGAUGGGUCAAGUAGAGACUACUGCUGCUCAGAUAUGGCUGAGGAUAGGUCAAGUAGAGACUGACUGGAGACUACUGCUGUUCAGAUAGAGCUGAGGAUUGUUCAAAUAGAGACUACUGCUGCUCAGAUAGGGCUGAGGAUAGGUCAAGUAGAGACUGACUGGAGACUAAUGAUGCUCAG
rnacentral:lncRNA from 1 species